ACCCGUCUAGAACAUUCACAAGAAACACAGAACUAAAUGUUUUGGUUGGCAGUGAUCAUGUGAAACCUGUUUAUUCUUAGAAUGGCCUGACCCAUAAGAGUCUGGAUAUAAAAGAUCGUGUACAGAAACAAUAAAGCCAUCACUUGGGCCAUCAGCCCAGGGGACCCUCCUGUUCCCAAACUUUCUUCUCUCUCUUUUUUCUUGCAUUCCCUUACCUUCAGGACCCUGACCUCGGUGUUUGUCGCGCCGGUCGCGACAAGUGGCGCCCGAACAGGGACCUGAGACAACAAGGAGGAAAGCGAAAGCGGACCACGCGGCGUCUAAUUCAGAAUUUUGCCGCCGAUUCCGAAUUGAGCAUACAACUGGCAUUGCUUAUAAUUCCACAGGACAGGCUAUUGUUGAGUGAGCUCAUCUGACUCUAAAACAGUAUCUGCAAAAACUUAAAGAGGGGGAGAUAUUAAAGGGAAAGAUCAAGUAUUCCCCACACGUACAUCUCACUCUCGUGUUGUAUGUUUUAGACUUUUUUAAUGUCAAUGAAGCAGGGAGGACUGCCGCAGAGCAUCGCUGGGGAAGGAGUCAAGAACCUCUCUUGAUGGCAAGAUGGAAAGCUAUGCCGGAAGGCAUUUGGCGAGGCCCAGACCCAGUCCUUCGAAAAGGGCGAGGGUAUGCUUGUGUUUUUCCACAGGAUGAGGAAGUGCCACGCCGGGUCCCGCUUCGGCUCCUCAGAGACAUUACGGUUGCGCCGAAAAAUGGCCACAUUGACAGCGACGGAGUCCCCCCAGAAGUGACAACGGCGGAGUCAUAAGGCGGGUACACCCACCUGGGGACAGAUAAAGAACCUGCUGACCCAGGCGACUGAUGCAGUGAUGGCCUCAGGUAGAGAGGUAGCGGCCACACAUGUCUUCUUGGCGUGCCUGUGCCUUCUCACUACAGCCGGGGAGUCGGCCCUCUGUUGGGCAUACGGGUAGGUCCUCCUGCACCAUGGAGAGACCCCACACCCAAAGUAUACACCAGUCUCACCUUUAUGGGAGGGGAAGAUGCAGGGUUUCUGCCCACUGUGUCGGCCUCUAUACAUUGGACGGCACUCUCUGCAGGAACACCCAUCUGCCUGCAAAGGGAGUCUACACCCUACAAACUUGCUUAUGGGUGUUUGGGUACGAAACCAGUAGGGCGGUCUAUUACUUAUACUAUGUGGCAAAAUGACAAGCGUCCUUCUGAACGGGUACCCCGCUCCGUUGCCGCUUAUUGGCAAAAGAGAGAAUUAUUAGGAGAAUGGAUGUUUUUUGGGCCGCGUGAUCCCCCUCGGAAUCUUCCUGUAUGUCCCUCAGCUGGUCAAGGCCUUCCUGGGCCUCUUCCUUGAGGAUGACUCCUAAAGACAUAAACUAUACCAUUACAGAUUAUUCCCGAAAGGCCCGGCUAGCCCAGUCGGUAGAGCAUGGGACUCUUGAUCCCAGGGUCGUGGGUCCACCUCCUAAGGAGGUUCAGGUACACCACAAGAUUAUCCCACAAACCAUUUUGCAAUCCCCUGAAGGAAGAAUUCAUUCUGAUCUGUGGAAGUUAUAUGCUACCUUUGAUAAAAUAUAUACUAAUGACAGCUUUAGUUUUCCGGAAUAGUAUGUUUCUCCAGUUCUGCAAUUGCGUGCCUGUGUUCCUCCACCCUACUAUCUGAUUGUUGGAGAUGGGACCAUUACUCCAGUGAGAGAAGAUGGUCAUCAGUUAUACCGGCUGACGUGCCCUGCUUAUGUCUUGACCAAUUGUCUACCAGUAGAAUGGACCCUCUAGAAGUGGAAUGAAGGUUUAUCUGGUCUUACCACCUCCCUAUUGGACGUUGCCAGGAAAUGUUACAGGACCUUGGUAUCCUAAUUAUGGGAUGCAAUUGGCCUUAGAAAUCAGUAAACGGCUGCGCAGGACCAGACGGUUCCUUGGACUCUUGAUUGCUGGACUCAUAGCGACAGUGACUGUAAUUGCCUCUGCAACUGUAUCUGUAAUAUCCUUACAUGAAAGUGCCCAAACGGCAUCCCAUGUAAAUGAGUUCGCUCAUAAUGUAUCCAAGGUGUUUGCCACUCAAGAACGAAUAGACCGUAAAUUGGAAGCCCAAUUAGAGGCACUACAAGAAG